UGUCGUUCUUAAUGGAACCUCGACCAUUCUACAAGCAAUUGAGAAUUCAAAUCGCAUAUUCAAUCGAUGAUAGACAGUGUGUUUCCUUCAAGAAAAUUCAGAUAUUAUUAUAUUUAUCUACGAAUAAUAGAACACGAACUUGGAAAAAUUAAGCUAAAUUACAAAAUAUCAUCGGAAAACUUGGUCAUCGGUCUUCGGUCACCGGUCACCGAACAAUCAAACAUUAAAUGAACAAAUGUACCUAAGUUAGAUUUUUAUAUAUUAGCUUGAGCGAGGCGCUGUACGUUUUACAGAAAUGAUUAAGAGCCGAUGGCCUACCGCGUUUGCUUUUAAGCCAUAUCAAAUUCAUUAAAUCGUCUUCACAUGACCGGAAAGAAGAUAUUAUCUCACACAUAGGAAAAAAAUAUCGAAUUUCAAAACCUGGGAUGUAGAACAAUGACAAAGUAUUCGAGUAAUAGAAGAUGAGAAUGUACCAGAGAGCCAGGAAAAAAACUAUAAGAAGAAGAAAAUGGUAGAAAUUAAAACGACGUAUUAUACACGUAUAAGCUUCUUUUAUGGAAAUUGGUGAAGUGAUUUCAGAGUACCUAAUUUUGCAAGAAAAUGGAAAAUUUCAGUGAUCUCAAAUUCAAGAUAGCCUGAAUGCACCCUCGAAAGCUACAGCUCAUCUACGUCUCAAAAAAUCUGCUCGUCACCUCAGAUUUUUAAUUCACCGUCCCUAAUCGAUUUGGAAUGUAGAACAUAUGCCAGGAUUACAUUUUCAGCUUACGAAGUUGAUUACAAC